rnacentral:tRNA from 1 species
AGAGAAAGACGACUGAAUUUGAAGAAAUUCAACAAAAAAUGUGUUUUACUUAUGCUGUCCAUCUUAUUUUUAUAAUCUAUCGUUAGAGUCUCGUAGCUCAGCUGGUUGGAGCGCUACACUGAUAAUGUAGAGGUCGGCAGUUCGAGCCUGCCCGAGACUACUUUUUGAUAGAUCGUUUAUGGAAAAUUAGGGCUGGGAAACUUUUUUUUUCCGUUCUAUUUUUUUCAGAAUGGGGGAUUAGCUCAGCUGGCUAGAGCGCCUGCCUUGCACGCAGGAGGUCAUCGGUUCGACUCCGAUAUUCUCCACAAAGGUUUUGUAAUAUAUAAACCGUACGUUCAUUGACAUAUUGAAUUAUUUAAGAUACAUAAAAUAAAAGGUAUAAAUUAUUAAUCGAGCCGAUUAAUAAUUUGUACGAGCAAAGUAAAAAUUACAAUUUUAAGAGAAAGUAAAGUUAC